rnacentral:rRNA from 1 species
AGUGAACGCUGGCGGUAGGCCUAACACAUGCAAGUCGAACGGCAGCACAGUAAGAGCUUGCUCUUACGGGUGGCGAGUGGCGGACGGGUGAGGAAUACAUCGGAAUCUACUUUUUCGUGGGGGAUAACGUAGGGAAACUUACGCUAAUACCGCAUACGACCUACGGGUGAAAGCAGGGGAUCUUCGGACCUUGCGCGAUUGAAUGAGCCGAUGUCGGAUUAGCUAGUUGGCGGGGUAAAGGCCCACCAAGGCGACGAUCCGUAGCUGGUCUGAGAGGAUGAUCAGCCACACUGGAACUGAGACACGGGCCAGACUCCUACGGGAGGCAGCAGUGGGGAAUAUUGGACAAUGGGCGCAAGCCUGAUCCAGCCAUACCGCGUGGGUGAAGAAGGCCUACGGGUUGUAAAGCCCUUUUGUUGGGAAAGAAAAGCAGCAGGUUAAUACCCCGCUGUUCUGACGGGACCCAAAGAAUAAGCACCGGCUAACUUCGU